rnacentral:lncRNA from 1 species
UAUGGUGUAGUAGAAUAGCAUUCAUGGCAAUUCAAAAAUAUAACAAUAGCAAAUAUAAUAAACAAAACAAAAAAAAAUUAAUAAUAACAAAAUUUAUUAAGCUUCCACGCAUGCCAUGUCACGAGCGUAGUGACCGUUGCAUGCUCACGAGCGUGACAGCGUGUUUCCUCGUAAACGUUGUUGACCGUUAAGGUCAUGACCGUUGCUCCAUCUCCCCAUUCA